GUUUUACAAGAUUUUUUUUGUCAGAAUUGACUGGAGUUACUUCCCCUGCAGUGCUCCAUAAACUUUUUUUUCUCUUCGGAACAACGAUUUAGCUGUAUCUCAAGAGAAAAGUACACUAGAUCGAUGCAAUUGAGAUGGACAAAAGUAAUAAAGAUCCUUGAUAAAACUAAGAGCUUCAUCAUGGUCCUUCGAAAUCAUCUUCACUAGAUAUAUCCUUCGCAUCUUGAUAUUCAUCCAAGUGUCAUCUUUGCACAAGCUGGACUUAAUUAUAGGUUUUGAGAAGCCACAUGAGUCACCCGUCUCAAAUAGUGCAAACCUAAGAUCGUUGAACAUACCAUGGCUCGGGAAAGGCAAGAUGUGAAACCGCUGCUUCGUCAAUGAAUUGACAAGAAAAAAUAUCAAAAGAUGAGCCACAAUAACCACUGACUAUACGGAGUAGGCCGCAGCAUUUACACCAGAACGAGGAUGGAAGCACGGCAAAAAUCUUCUAGACGACGUCAUCUCCUAAAUAAGAAAAAAGAAAAGCAAACUAGAUGCCCGCCUCCCGUCUCUCAAUGCC
rnacentral:lncRNA from 1 species